GAUGAACGCUGGCGGCGUGCCUAAUGCAUGCAAGUCGAGCGAACAGACGAGGAGCUUGCUCCUCUGACGUUAGCGGCGGACGGGUGAGUAACACGUGGAUAACCUACCUAUAAGACUGGGAUAACUUCGGGAAACCGGAGCUAAUACCGGAUAAUAUAUUGAACCGCAUGGUUCAAUAGUGAAAGACGGUUUUGCUGUCACUUAUAGAUGGAUCCGCGCCGCAUUAGCUAGUUGGUAAGGUAACGGCUUACCAAGGCAACGAUGCGUAGCCGACCUGAGAGGGUGAUCGGCCACACUGGAACUGAGACACGGUCCAGACUCCUACGGGAGGCAGCAGUAGGGAAUCUUCCGCAAUGGGCGAAAGCCUGACGGAGCAACGCCGCGUGAGUGAUGAAGGUCUUCGGAUCGUAAAACUCUGUUUUUAGGGAAGAACAAAUGUGUAAGUAACUAUGCACGUCUUGACGGUACCUAAUCAGAAAGCCACGGCUAACUACGUG
rnacentral:rRNA from 1 species